UUUUGAUGAUUAUAGCUCUCCCCUGCACCCUCCAGGCUGUGAACACCCGUUCCUGUAGCAGCUGUGUGGUGGUGACGGCCCCUUAAAGUCUGGGCAUUAGCAGGACCCUGAGGGUUGGGGUGCUUUGGUGGAAUGGCUGCUUCAAAGGGCUGGGGGGCCUCCCCAUGCCUCUGCCACUCCGAGGCUCAUGAGGUUGUGUGAGUCAUGUCGCAGAGUGGCCACGUGCUGCCCUGUGCCCUGUUGCUGCCCUCUGCAGGCCUAAGCAGCGAGAGCUGGUCCAUCAUGAAGAACAUGGCCACGGAGCUGGGCAUCAUCCUCAUUGGCUACUUCACCCUAGUGCCCGCCAUCCAGGAGUUCUGUCUCUUUGCCGUCGUGGGGCUGGUGUCUGACUUCUUCCUUCAGAUGCUGUUUUUCACCACUGUCCUGUCCAUUGACAUUCGCCGGAUGGAGCUAGCGGACCUGAACAAGCGGCUGCCCCCUGAGGCCUGCCUGCCCUCAGCCAAGCCAGUGGGGCAGCCAACACGCUAUGAGCGGCAGCUGGCUGUGCGACCAUCCACACCCCACACCAU
rnacentral:sRNA from 1 species